GACGAACGCUGGCGGCAUGCCUAACACAUGCGAGUCGAACGAGACCUUCGGGUCUAGUGGCGCACGGGUGCGUAACGCGUGGGAACCUGCCCUUAGGUUCGGAAUAACUCCCCGAAAGGGGUGCUAAUACCGGAUAAUGUCUUCGGACCAAAGAUUUAUCGCCUUUGGAUGGGCCCGCGUUGGAUUAGCUAGUUGGUAGGGUAAAAGCCUACCAAGGCGACGAUCCAUAGCUGGUCUGAGAGGAUGAUCAGCCACACUGGGACUGAGACACGGCCCAGACUCCUACGGGAGGCAGCAGUGGGGAAUAUUGGACAAUGGGCGAAAGCCUGAUCCAGCAAUGCCGCGUGAGUGAUGAAGGCCUUAGGGUUGUAAAGCUCUUUUACCCGGGAUGAUAAUGACAGUACCGGGAGAAUAAGCUCCGGCUAACUCCGUG
rnacentral:rRNA from 1 species